GCCCGGCUGGCUCAAUGGUAGAGCAUCAGACUUCUAUACAGUCUUGUAAAGGUCAAUCUGAAGGUUGUGGGUUCGAGUCCCACGUCGGGUG